rnacentral:lncRNA from 11 species
CGGGGCGUUUUGGAAGAGAACCAGCAAUAAUAAUAAUAAUAAUGUGAAAACCCCAACAGUCCAGGGAUUCAUUCCCCUCGGUUUGCAUGUGUCGCUUGUUUUGCAAAAUGCAAAAAACGGGGCGUUGUUGCAAUUGCACGUUGGCCCGCCUUGCUUUCCGUGGCCGCCGCUUGGGUGCCAGUCUUUCUGUGUGAUUCAGGCUCAGGGGCCUCUUUGUCCUCCUCCUUUUUGCAUCAGGAAGGAACUUCUGAGUAAUAACAAAUUCACCGACCGACCCACUGAAUGCCGCUCUCUGUUUUCCGCAAAGCCUUCUCCACCUCUUUGGGGCACAAAGGCCUCCUGUACCUCUACCUGGAAAAACAAACAUUUUUUUGCAAAGUCUGGAGAAGGAAGCUUGGGAUAAAGGCUUCGCUGUUUGCCUUCUUUGGAGGCUUCGAAAUGGUCCAUCUUUCAUUUAGAAAGGGUUGGUCUAGAUGGCCUUUGGGGUGCCCUCCACAUCUAACAUUGCCUGGUUGGCCAUCUGUCAGGAGAGCUUUGGUUGUGUCUUCUGGCCAGGUUGAAGGCCUGAUCCCACCCUUUGGGGGCCCGUGGGGCUCGUGACCGCAUUCCUGGGGGUCCCGUCCCCCCAAAAGCCCCGAAGGAGGAUGGAGCUGGAGGAAGGCUUCAAUGGGGUGAGUAUUUCUGGAGCAGGAAUCAUAGUUUGCAAGGGGAAGAUCCAAUGGGGAAAGCAUGGAUCGCGAUGUAAAGGCGUGAUGGGAGUUCAAUAAAGUUUAUUGCACUAGCCAUAGGCCAUGACAUCAAUAACAUACAACCUUUAUAAACACAUUCCAAUGUAAAGCAAAACCCGUUCAAGAUUUAAAAACUAGUACUUUAAAAUUUUGCUGGCAGAAACCUAGCAAUAACAGCGUCUAGUCUGUGACCUCCUUAACCAUCUCCCUUUUCCUAUCUGGUCUCCGGCGAGGUUUUUGCUACUCUAUCUCUGAUCUUUUGGGCAGCGAUUGCAAAUGUGGCUACUUUUAGUGUUAUAUUUUUAUCAUAAUCUGCUAGUAAGGCACCAAUCACGGCAGGUUCUUGCCAUGCUGCCCUUUCUUCAAGGAGUGUUCCCAGGAGAUUUUUUCUGGGGUCAUUAUACAAAGGGCAGUGCAAUAGAUAGUGAGUUAGAUCUUCUUUUUCCCCGGCGCCACAAAUGCAAAGCCUUUGGGCAUGAGGGAUCCCUCUGUAUCUCCCUUCUAGCCAGUUUGAGGGCAUUGUUUGGAAACGCAGGGCUGUAAAGGCGUGAUGGGAGUUGCAGUACAACUGAGACAGAAGGGUUGUGGGUUGGGAGUUUGGACUAGAUGACCUUUGGGUCUCCCUUUCAAUUUGCUCACCCGUUUCUCUGAAGAGAGAGUGGUCAGUUUCCUUUACUCCGUAUUUAUAAUAUAACUAGCUUGCGGACCCGGCGGUGCCCGGGUCUUUUGAGAAACCUGUGUGCUAAGUUUGGUCCAUAUCCGAAGUGGGCUGGGUUCAGUGGUGUCUGUAUAAGGGUGAACUACAACUCCCAGAGCAAGAAGUGAGUGAAGCUCCUUGGUCCAUCCUCCCCCAAUCUGCCCCAGGACGGAAAGGGGUUCAUGGGGGUUCUGUGGGCCAGGUUUGGUUCAGUUCUGUCACUGGUGGACAUCGCAGUGGCCUGUGGGAGCUGUAGCGACUGAAAGUACUACAAAUCCCAUCACCCACAGUCAAUCAUCCCGCAAACGGCACCAGGGCGUAAAGUGCAUCAUGGGGAUUAAGUGUGUCGAGUUUGGUCCAGAUCCGUCAUUCAUGGCGGUCGUAGUUGUCCAUGUAAGUGGCGGCCAAUCAGAAAGCUGGCACAUACUCGCAUACAAACAUACAUACAAACACUGACUUUUGAUAAUGGAUCCCCAAAGGCCAUCUAGUCCAGUCCUCUUCCCCAUAAUAGGAGGUGCCAUCAAAGCCCUCCUGACAGAUGGCCAUCCAGCCUCAGCUUAAAAGCCUCCAGAGAAGGAGAUGCCACCCUCCUCCAAGGUGGUGGUGAUGAGAAUAAUCGAAUCCUAGAGUUGGAAGGGACCCCCAGAGGCCAUCCAGCCUGACCCCCGUCUGCCAAAAAGGAAGACUCAGUCCAGGCUCUUCCGACAGAUGGCCAUGCAAACUCUAACGCAACUUGAUGUAUUUCCCUUAUCACAGAAUCCUAGAGGAGCCCCUGGUGGCGCAGUGGGUUACAGCCUUGUGAUUUGUAGGUUGGGUUGCUGACCUGAAGGCUGCCAGGUUCAAAUCCAACCCGGGCAGAGUGUGGAUGAGCUCCCCCUCUCAGCUCCAGCUCCAUGUGGGGACAUGAGAGAAGCCUCCCAUAGCAUGAUAAACAUCAAAUACAUCCAGGCAAUGUUCCCUGGGCAACGUCCUUGCAGAUGGCCAAUUCUCUCACACUCAAGUCGCUCCUGACACAAAAAAACCAAACAAACCAGAAUCCUAGAAAUGGAGUGGAAAUAAAAAGAAACAUAGCUUUAGGGGGCCGUUUUGGGGGUCUGUCUCGCUUUGAGGAAGUGAUGGUGGUUCUCUCCUUUUCUCCCGCACAGAACCCGGCGCUUUCUGCCCGGAGCGGGUCCGCCAUGGCCAUCAUUGGCGCCGAAGACGAGGAUUUCGAAAACGACAUUGAGCCCGUGAGUGGAGCGUCCGCACCGCACGCUUAUAGCACUUCGAUCCCACUCUGAAUGGGCAUCUGCUGCACUGCAGAACAAAUGCAGUUGGGCUCCGCUUGGAAUUUCCAAGGCUCACGCCUAGGGGAUGAUGAGAGUUGUACUUUGGCAAAAGGCCUUGGCAAACUACACAUCCCAGGGAUCCUAUCACCUUGCCCUGUAUUAAUUCCACUGCACAGAUGUGUCCCUUAGUAAAACUACAAAUCCCAGGGAUCCAAUAGCCUUGCAUUGCAGUCAUUCUACUAUUUGGAUGUGUCCUUUAGAAAAACUACAAAUCCCAGGGAUCCAAUAGCCUUGCGCUGCAUGCAUUAUACUAUUCUGAUGUGUCCUUCAGUAAAACUACAAAUCCCAGGGAUCCUAUCAUCUUGUUCUGCGCGCAUUCUAUUUGGAUGUGUCCCUUAGUAAAACUACAAAUCCCAGGGAACCAAUCAUCUUGUUCUGCGCGCAUUCAUUCUACUAUUCAGAUGCGUAAAACUACAAAUCCCAGGGAACCAAUAGCCCUGCACUGCAUGCAUUCUACUAUUCAGAUGCGCCCUUAGUGAAACUACAAAUCCCAGGGAUGCUAUCAUCUUGUGCUGCACGCAUUCUACUAUUUGGAUUUAUCUUUUAGAAAAACUACAAAUCCCUGUGAUCCCAUUGCCUUGUGCUGCAUGCAUUCUACUGUUCAGAUGUAUCCUUUAGUAAAACUACAAAUCCCAGGGAUCCCAUUGUCUUGCGCUGCAUUAAUUCCACUGCACAAAUGUUUCCCUUGGUAAAACUAUAAUUUCAAAGGAUCCUAUCGCCUUGCGCUGCAUGCAUUCUACUAUUCAGAUGCGUCCUGAGUGAAACUACAAAUCCCAGGGAUCCUAUCAUCUUGUGCUGCAUGCAUUCUGCUAUUUGGAUGUAUCCUUUAGUAAAACUACAAAUCCUAGGGAUCCCAUCGCCUUGUGCUGCAUGCAUUCCCCGGGGAGAAAGGUGGGGUAAAAAUGAUGUAAAUAAAUGUAAAUAAAUACUAUUCAGAUAUAUCCUUUAGUAAAACUGCAAAUCCCAGGGAUCCCAUUGCCUUGUGCUGCAUGCAUUCCCCGGGGAGAAAGGUGGGGUAAAAAUGAUGUAAAUAAAUGUAAAUAAAUACUAUUCAGAUAUAUCCUUUAGUAAAACUACAAAUCCCAGGGAUUCUAUCGCCUUGUGCUGCAUGCAUUCCCUGGGGACAAAGGUGGGGUAAAAAUGAUGUAAAUAAAUGUAAAUAAAUACUAUUCAGAUGUAUCCUUUAGUAAAACUACAAAUCCCAGGGAUUCUAUCGCCUUGCGCUGCAUUAAUUCCACUGUGCAAACGUUUCCCUUAGUAAAACUAUAAUCCCAAGGGAUCUAAUAACCUUGCAUUGCAUGCAUCCCUCUGAGCAGUUGUGUCCCUUAGCAAAACUACAAAUCCCAGGGAUCAAAUAGUCUUGCACUACAUGCACUCUGUUGUUUAGAUGUGUCCCUUAGAAAAACUACUAAUCCCAGGGAUCCCAUUGCCUUGCACUGCAUUAAUUCCACCAUGCAAAGGUUCCCUGGGGAAAAUUAUAAUUCCAAGGCAUCCUUGCACUGCAUGCACUCUGUUGUUUAGAUGUGUCCUUUAGUAAAAUUACAAAUCUCAGGAGUCCAAUAGGUGUACGCUUUGUGCAUUACGCUGUGCAGAUGUGUCCCUGGGCAAAACUACAAAUCCCAGGGAUCCUAUUGCCUAGUGCUGCAUGCAUUCUACUGUUUGGAUGUGUCCCUGAGCAAAACUACAAAUCCCAGGGAUCAAAUAGUCUUGCACCACAUGCACUCUGCUGUUCAGAUGUGUCCCUGAGCAAAACUACAAAUCCCAGGGAUCAAAUAGCCUUGCACUACAUGCAUUCUACUGUUUGGAUGUGUCCCUGAGCAAAACUACAAAUCCCAGGGAUCAAAUAGCCUUGCGCUGCAUGCAUUCUACUGUUUGGAUGUGUCCCUGAGCAAAACUACAAAUCCCAGG